UACGUAGGGUGCAAGCGUUGUCCGGAAUUAUUGGGCGUAAAGGGCUCGUAGGCGGUCCGUCACGUCGGGAGUGAAAACUUGGGGGCUUAACCCCAAGCCUGCUUCCGAUACGGGCGGACUAGAGGUAGGCAGGGGAGAACGGAAUUCCUGGUGUAGCGGUGAAAUGCGCAGAUAUCAGGAGGAAUACCGGUGGUGCAGACGGCUCUCUGGACCGCAACUGACGCUGAGACACGAAAAGCGUGGGUAGCAAACAGG
rnacentral:rRNA from 1 species